rnacentral:rRNA from 1 species
UACAGAGGGGGCAAGCGUUGUUCGGAAUUACUGGGCGUAAAGGGCGCGUAGGCGGCCUUCUAAGUCGAACGUGAAAUCCCCGGGCUCAACCCGGGAACUGCGUCCGAUACUGGAAGGCUUGAAUCCGGGAGAGGGAUGUGGAAUUCCAGGUGUAGCGGUGAAAUGCGUAGAUAUCUGGAGGAACAUCGGUGGCGAAGGCGGCAUCCUGGACCGGUAUUGACGCUGAGGAGCGAAAGCGUGGGGAGCGAACAGG